CGGCGGACGGGUGAGUAACACGUGGAUAACCUACCUAUAAGACUGGGAUAACUUCGGGAAACCGGAGCUAAUACCGGAUAAUAUAUUGAACCGCAUGGUUCAAUAGUGAAAGACGGUUUUGCUGUCACUUAUAGAUGGAUCCGCGCCGCAUUAGCUAGUUGGUAAGGUAACGGAUUACCAAGGCAACGAUGCGUAGCCGACCUGAGAGGGUGAUCGGCCACACUGGAACUGAGACACGGUCCAG
rnacentral:rRNA from 1 species